rnacentral:lncRNA from 1 species
AAACAGCUCCAGUACAAGCACCUCCUGCUCCAGUAAUUGUUACAGAAACCCCAGAACCAGCGAUGACUAGUGGUGUGUAUAGGCCUCCUGGGGCCAGGUUAACCACAACAAGGAAAACACCACAAGGACCACCAGAAAUCUACAGUGAUACACAGUUCCCAUCCCUGCAGUCAACUGCCAAGCAUGUAGAAAGCCGGAAGUAAAAAUGGAGAAGAGCUUUGAAGUAGUAAGACACAAAAAUAGAGGUAGGGAUGAGGUUUCAAAAAACCAGGCCCUUAAACUUCAGCUAGACAACCAAUAUGCUGUGCUUGAAAAUCAGAAAAGCAGCCACUCACAAUACAAUUAAGGAAUGGGCUUUGCUAACCCUUCUGAGGUAACUAGACUGCAGCUAACCACCACCAACAGCCAUUCAUCAUCUGAUCUCUGCUGGAUCUACAGACACCGAUGCAGACCACUCGAUUUCAUGACCGGCCCUAUUGCACUAUGGAAGUUAAAGUGUCACGACUGCUCUAUGCAUAUUGGAUUUAGGGGAAUUUUCAUUGUUACAUAAAUGUGUGAACUAGUUUCAACAGUGUUCUUUCAUAUUUACUCUGCAAAUACAAAAAACCAAAACCUGCAGCCAGUGGUCAUUUCAAAAUCUUUUUAUGUUCAGAUACUGAGCCUUCAUAAGGGUUGACUACCUCAGAUUUGCUGCACUCAUUGUGGACUUCAUGUGGAUCACAACUUCUGGAUAAGAAGAUUACAACUAUUAAGUGUCGAUGUGAACCUUGCAACCAGCUCUACUGGAUUCUUAUCAGAAAUCCUGCAUAAAAAGUCAGCCAUCUGGGUUCUGAUCUGCUGUAAAAGAUGAAGAUUUAAGUGACCUUAAUUAACCUGUCCUGUGCCCUACCCUUAAGGAAUACUCUCUGUAGUAGGCUGUUGUUAUAUUAGACUUCCUGGAACACACUGCUGAAAAGAACUGAUGUGUUCAGAU